GAUGAACGCUAGCGGCAGGCUUAACACAUGCAAGUCGAGGGGCAGCAUGAAUGUAGCAAUACAUUUGAUGGCGACCGGCGCACGGGUGCGUAACGCGUAUGCAACCUACCUAUAACAGGGGGAUAAUCCGAAGAAAUUUGGUCUAAUACCCCAUAAUAUCUGAGAAGGCAUCUUUUCAGGUUGAAAGCUCCGACGGUUAUAGAUGGGCAUGCGUUGUAUUAGGUAGUUGGUGAGGUAACGGCUCACCAAGCCGACGAUACAUAGGGGGACUGAGAGGUUAACCCCCCANACUGGUACUGAGACACGGACCAGACUCCUACGGGAGGCAGCAGUGAGGAAUAUUGGUCAAUGGACGCAAGUCUGAACCAGCCAUGCCGCGUGCAGGAUGACGGCUCUAUGAGUUGUAAACUGCUUUUGAUAUGGGUAAAUGUAGGUACGUGUACCUAUUUGAAAGUAUAUACGAAUAAGGAUCGGCUAA
rnacentral:rRNA from 1 species